rnacentral:lncRNA from 1 species
GAUUGUGAUUAAAUAGUUGACACAACACAGGUUUCUGACACAUAAUGAAUGUGAUCUAAGAACUUAAACUUAACCAGAUGCUCCGCAGGGCACAGCUUUAUACGACCGCAGAGGUUGAACCCUGAACGGUUGGGCAAGUAUGGACACAACAUUCAAGCUGGAUUCAGCUCUAAAUUUGGAUUGUGAUUAAAUAGUUGACACAGCAUAGGUUUCUGACACAGAAUGAAUG